UAAGAGCUCACCAAGGCGACGAUCUCUAGCUGGUCUGAGAGGAUGAUCAGCCACACUGGAACUGAGACACGGUCCAGACUCCUACGGGAGGCAGCAGUGGGGAAUAUUGCACAAUGGGGGAAACCCUGAUGCAGCCAUGCCGCGUGUGUGAAGAAGGCCUUCGGGUUGUAAAGCACUUUCAGUUGUGAGGAAGGCAUAUGCGUUAAUAGCGUAUGUGUUUGACGUUAGCAACAGAAGAAGCACCGGCUAACUCCGUGCCAGCAGCCGCGGUAAUACGGAGGGUGCGAGCGUUAAUCGGAAUUACUGGGCGUAAAGCGCAUGCAGGCGGCUUGUUAAGCCAGAUGUGAAAGCCCGGGGCUCAACCUCGGAAUAGCAUUUGGAACUGGCAGGCUAGAGUCUUGUAGAGGGGGGUAGAAUUUCAGGUGU
rnacentral:rRNA from 1 species